GCGAGACAACGGUUGGGGCGGAUACCCGGCACCGUCCCGUCCGUCGAGGGGCUCAGGUCGCAAGACCUGAGCCCCUCACUUUUU
rnacentral:sRNA from 1 species